rnacentral:lncRNA from 10 species
CCAUUUCCUCAGCUCAAGUAGUCCACUGGGCUCUACCUCAGUUCUGCCUCCUCUUGCUGUGGCCUAGAAAUUCUCUCUGGAUAUCAGAAAACAAAGGACAGUAAUCCCUGCCAAGAUGGGAUACAAACAAGGCCCUGUGGACACAGAGUGACAGCUGAGUGCAAGUGUCAGUGACGGGAGAAGGAAAGAACAAUUCCUCUGCAGGACUCCCAUUAUGGAUUCAUGGGUAUACUUGGAUGGUGUCUGGUAAGUCUCUUAGACUCUGUUUGCUUUUCUUCAUUCUAUUUUCUUUUUGCUCCUCAUACUUGAUAAUUUCAAAUGACCUGUUUUCAAGUUUGCUGAUUUACCCUUUUGUCUAUUCGAGUCUGCUGUUGAACCCUUCUA